UGCAGUCGACGGUAGGCUCCAGCUUGCUGGGGUACACGAGUGGCGAACGGGUGAGUAACACGUGGGUGACCUGCCCUGCACUUCGGGAUAAGCCUGGGAAACUGGGUCUAAUACCGGAUAGGACUGYRCCGUGAGGGUGKGGUGGAAAGUUUUUUCGGKGKGGGAUGGGCCCGCGGCCUAUCAGCUUGKUGGUGGGGUAAUGGCCUACCAAGGSGGCGACSGGUAGCCGGSCUGAGAGGGUGGACGGCCACMUUGGGACUGARACACGGCCCARACUCCUACGGGAGGSAGCAGUGGGGAAUAUUGCACAAUGGGCGGAAGCCUGAUGCAGCGACSCCGCGUGGGGGAUGACGGCCUUCGGGUUGUAAACUCCUUUCACCAUCSACGAAGGGUUUCUGACGGUAGAUGGAGAAGAAGCACCGGCUAACUACSUGCCAGCAGCCGCGGUAAUACGUAGGGUGCGAGCGUUGUCCGGAAUUACUGGGCGUAAAGAGCUCGUARGUGGUUUGUCGCGUCSUCUGUGAAAUUCCGGGGCUUAACUCCSGGCGUGCAGGCGAUACSGGCAUAACUUGAGUACUGUAGGGGAGACUGGAAUUCCUGGUGUAGCGGUGAAAUGCGCAGAUAUCAGAGGAACACCGGUGGCGAAGCGGGUCUCUGGGCAGUAACUGACGCUGAGGAGCGAAAGCAUGGGGAGCGAACAGGAUUAGAUACCCUGGUAGUCCAUGCCGUAAACGRUGGGCGCUAGGUGUGGGUUUCCUUCCAYGGGAUCCGUGCCGUAGCUAACGCAUUAAGCGCCCCGCCUGGSGAGUACGGCCGCAAGGCUAAAACUCAAAGGAAUUGACGGGGGCCCGCACAAGCGGCGGAGCAUGUGGAUUAAUUCGAUGCAACGCGAAGAACCUUACCUGGGCUUGACAUAUACARGAUCGCRCCAGAGAUGGUGUUUCCCUUGUGGCUUGUAUACAGGUGGUGCAUGGUWGUCGUCAGCUCGUGUCGUGAGAUGUUGGGUUAAGUCCCGCAACGAGCGCAACCCUUGUCUUAUGUURCCAGCACGUUGUGGUGGGGACUCGUAAGAAACUGCCGGGGUUAACUCGGAGGAAGGUGGGGAUGACGUCAAAUCAUCAUGCCCCUUAUGUCCAGGGCUUCACACAUGCUACAAUGGUCGGUACAGUGGGUUGCCAGUCCGUGAGGGCGAGCUAAUCCCGCAAAGCCGGUCUCAGUUCGGAUCGGGGUCUGCAACUCGACCCCGUGAAGUCGGAGUCGCUAGUAAUSGCAGAUCAGCAACGCUGCGGUGAAUACGUUCCCGGGCCUUGUACACACCGCCCGUCACGUCAUGAAAGUCGGUAACACCCGAAGCCAGUGGCCUAA
rnacentral:rRNA from 1 species